rnacentral:rRNA from 1 species
UACGUAGGGUGCGAGCGUUAAUCGGAAUUACUGGGCGUAAAGCGUGCGCAGGCGGUUAUUUAAGUCAGGUGUGAAAGCCCUGGGCUUAACCUAGGAAUUGCGCUUGAGACUGGAUAGCUUGGAGUGCGGCAGAGGGAGGUGGAAUUCCACGUGUAGCAGUGAAAUGCGUAGAGAUCGGGAGGAACAUCAGUGGCGAAGGCGGCCAUCUGGGACAACACUGACGCUGAAGCACGAAAGCGUGGGGAGCAAACAGG